rnacentral:rRNA from 1 species
UGCAGUCGAGCGAACAGAACGGACCUUGCUCCCGGAUGUUAGCGGCGGACGGGUGAAUAGCACGUGGGUAACCUGCCUGUAGGACUGGGAUAACUCCGGGAAACCGGAACUAAUACCGGAUACUUCCUUGAACCGCAUGGUUCAAGGAUGAAAGACGGUUUCGGCUGUCACUUACAGAUGGACCCGCGGCGCAUUAGCUAGUUGGUGGGGUAAGGGCUCACCAAGGCCACGAUGCAUAGCCGACCUGAGAGGGUGAUCGGCCACACUGGGACUGAAACCCGGCCCAAACUCCUACGGGAGGCAACAGUAGGGAAUCUUCCACAAUGGACGAAACUCUGACGGAGCAACGCCACGUGAGUGAUAAAGGUUUUCGGAUCGUAAAGCUCUGUUGUUAGGGAAGAACAAGUGCUAGAGUAACUGCUCUCACCUUGACGGUACCUAACCAUAAAGCCACGGCUAACUACGUGCCAACACCCGCGGUAAUACGUAUGUGGCAAGCGUUGUCCGGAAUUAUUGGGCGUAAAGGGCUCGCAAGCGGUUUCUUAAAUCUGAUGUGAAAGCCCCCGGCUCACCCGGGGAGGGUCAUUGGAAACUGGGAAACUUGAGUGCAGAAGAGGAGAGUGAAUUCCACGUGUAGCGGUGAAAUGCAUAGAGAUGUGGAGGAACACCAGUGACGAAGGCGACUCUCUGGUCUGUAACUGA